rnacentral:rRNA from 1 species
GACGAACGCUGGCGGCGUGCUUAACACAUGCAAGUCGAACGGAAAGGCCCUGCUUUUGCGGGGUGCUCGAGUGGCGAACGGGUGAGUAACACGUGAGUAACCUGCCCUUGACUUUGGGAUAACUUCAGGAAACUGGGGCUAAUACCGGAUAGGAGCUCCUGCUGCAUGGUGGGGGUUGGAAAGUUUCGGCGGUUGGGGAUGGACUCGGGGCUUAUCAGCUUGUUGGUGGGGUAGUGGCUUACCAAGGCUUUGACGGGUAGCCGGCCUGAGAGGGUGACCGGCCACAUUGGGACUGAGAUACGGCCCAGACUCGUACGGGAGGCAGCGGUGGGGAAUAUUGCACAGUGGGCGGGAGCCUGAUGCAGCAGCGCCGCGUGCGGGAUGACGGCCUUCGGGUUGUAAACCGCUUUCGCCUGUGACGAAGCGUGAGUGACGGUAAUGGGUAAAGAAGCACCGGCUAACUACGUG